rnacentral:piRNA from 1 species
UAUGCUCUGUGCACUCGUGGGACAAG